CGCGCAAGACUUGCAGUAAUUUGACGGCAGAUUGGCGGCAGAAACCGAGCAAACUCAGCGCGCAGACUCUACGCGUAGUUUGGCAGCAGGACCUGUGCGGUUUCUGCCGACAAUUUGCUCGCACGGCCUGUCAUACAGGUCCUGUCGACAAAACACGAGCCUAAUGAGGACACAGAUGGUUAUGGUUUUGAUGUGGAGAUCUGAUCGAAAUUGGCGUCAAUCUGCGCGCAUUCUGCUAGCAUUUUGCUUACUGGGAUAGUAAGAGAAUAUGACAACAGUGACGAUCGAGGUUUCUAUAAAAUAACAUAAGACAAACGUACGUUUCCUGUAAACUCUCAUAACAAAUCACAUGUCACAAUUAAUUCCGGUUUAAGCGAAAAGUCUAUAAUGGCAGCAAUAAGUGAUUUACGAAACCGUAUUGAUAAAUUACAAGGAAUGGUGACACAAAUUUAUAUUGCUACAUGCCAUCCUGCAGAAACAUUAGACAAUUCUAUCGGGAUUCCAACUCUACCGGUGAUUUCUAUGGAAGAUUUCUGCGUAUGGGAAGAUUUCAUAUUGGAGGAGGAGAAAAAAUUGAUUAUGAUUCGAGUUAAUAGAACAUUGCACGGAAAAUUUAAAAGGCUCUAUAUAUUGCAAUCUAUAUAAUGCGCAAACUUAUGACAAACAAAGUCGCAGUUAACUUCAAUUUGAAAGGAACAAACAGAGAAUGCAAGAUAUGAAAAUUGAAGGGAACAAACAGAGAAGCAAGAUAUGAAAAAAAAAUUUCAAAGCACAACAUCUUACAUUCUUGUUAUUGCUAUUGUGAAGAAACAUGCACAAGAAAGGAUAGAUAGAGGCCUUCAAUUCACAUAUAACAGAGAAAUUGCUGAUUUACAUAUUGCGAAUUGGUUAAAAGACGCAAAAAAGACGUCUCGAAAAUGAAGUACUUCAAUUACGGAAAAGCGGGCAACAAGACGAAUAAGAAGAAAAUGAAACUGCAUAAAAAACUUUAAUAGUUUGCUUGUAACAUUUUCUUUAAGGCUUUUGGUUAUUUCAUGCUUUUAAGUUCC